ACCAAGCAGUUCAGCUACCUGCAGACCGCAUUGUUGCCCUCUUCUUGCAGUUCCUGGGGGUCAAAGGUAACAUGCGCCUGGGGCCCACCAGCUUCAGAACCUUCAUCAGGCACUGUAAGCUGAGCAACAGUAACCUCUCCAUGGCGUCUGUGGAUAUCCUCUACACUGGGCCAACAUGCUGCCUGACUCCAGGGAAGCAGAGAAACCCUCCAGCCAAUCAGAACUAGGCAUGGGUCUCCAGGUGUUUGUGGAGGCUGUCUUCUACCCGGCCCAGCGCAGGUUCAAGUCUCUCUGCUGGAGAUGUGUGAGGCUUAGCUGGAGAACCAGGGAGUAGGGGGUCCUGGAGGAUCUCUUCCUGAGAACAGCACCUGGUCCAGCAGGCGCUCUGUGAGCCACCCCAGACCAGGCCCUAUCAGAACCCCAGCUCUGCUCCCCGGCCAACCUGCGCAGGGCCUCCUCCCAGAACUACCAGCUGCAUCAGCGAUUACGACCCCCACACACACAAGGCCAAUGUAGAGAACUGACCUGACUCAGGCCUAAGAAGCUAUACUCCCACACACAGACCUCACAGAGGAGCACACAGACUGGCUCCCUCUCCACUGGAAGUCCUCCAGGGUGUCCUGUCAAGAGCAGACAGACAGAUUGUAGGGAGCUGACCUCAGAGGCUGACUUCCAGGACCUGUUCUGGGCUUGAUUUAUUUUCCUUGUGAAGAGGAGGAGGAGGGGGAGGAAGGUAGUGCAUAAGGUGGUUG
rnacentral:lncRNA from 1 species